rnacentral:rRNA from 1 species
AUGAACGCUAGCUACAGGCUUAACACAUGCAAGUCGAGGGGCAGCAUGGUCUUAGCUUGCUAAGGCCGAUGGCGACCGGCGCACGGGUGAGUAACACGUAUCCAACCUGCCGUCUACUCUUGGACAGCCUUCUGAAAGGAAGAUUAAUACAAGAUGGCAUCAUGAGUCCGCAUGUUCACAUGAUUAAAGGUAUUCCGGUAGACGAUGGGGAUGCGUUCCAUUAGAUAGUAGGCGGGGUAACGGCCCACCUAGUCUUCGAUGGAUAGGGGUUCUGAGAGGAAGGUCCCCCACAUUGGAACUGAGACACGGUCCAAACUCCUACGGGAGGCAGCAGUGAGGAAUAUUGGUCAAUGGGCGAGAGCCUGAACCAGCCAAGUAGCGUGAAGGAUGACUGCCCUAUGGGUUGUAAACUUCUUUUAUAAAGGAAUAAAGUCGGGUAUGGAUACCCGUUUGCAUGUACUUUAUGAAUAAGGAUCGGCUAACUCCGUGCCAGCAGCCGCGGUAAUACGGAGGAUUCGAGCGUUAUCCGGAUUUAUUGGGUUUAAAGGGAGCGUAGAUGGAUGUUUAAGUCAGUUGUGAAAGUUUGCGGCUCAACCGUAAAAUUGCAGUUGAUACUGGAUAUCUUGAGUGCAGUUGAGGCAGGCGGAAUUCGUGGUGUAGCGGUGAAAUGCUUAGAUAUCACGAAGAACUCCGAUUGCGAAGGCAGCCUGCUAAGCUGCAACUGACAUUGAGGCUCGAAAGUGUGGGUAUCAAACAGGAUUAGAUACCCUGGUAGUCCACACGGUAAACGAUGAAUACUCGCUGUUUGCGAUAUACGGCAAGCGGCCAAGCGAAAGCGUUAAGUAUUCCACCUGGGGAGUACGCCGGCAACGGUGAAACUCAAAGGAAUUGACGGGGGCCCGCACAAGCGGAGGAACAUGUGGUUUAAUUCGAUGAUACGCGAGGAACCUUACCCGGGCUUAAAUUGCAGAUGAAUUACGGUGAAAGCCGUAAGCCGCAAGGCAUCUGUGAAGGUGCUGCAUGGUUGUCGUCAGCUCGUGCCGUGAGGUGUCGGCUUAAGUGCCAUAACGAGCGCAACCCUUGUUGUCAGUUACUAACAGGUUCUGCUGAGGACUCUGACAAGACUGCCAUCGUAAGAUGUGAGGAAGGUGGGGAUGACGUCAAAUCAGCACGGCCCUUACGUCCGGGGCUACACACGUGUUACAAUGGGGGGUACAGAGGGCCGCUACCACGCGAGUGGAUGCCAAUCCCAAAAACCUCUCUCAGUUCGGACUGGAGUCUGCAACCCGACUCCACGAAGCUGGAUUCGCUAGUAAUCGCGCAUCAGCCACGGCGCGGUGAAUACGUUCCCGGGCCUUGUACACACCGCCCGUCAAGCCAUGGGAGCCGGGGGUACCUGAAGUGCGUAACCGCGAGGAGCGCCCUAGGGUAAAACUGGUGACUGGGGCU